AGAGGGGGUUUUAUCGGAAAUUCUGGGGGCGUAAAGCGCACGCAGGGCGGUUUGUUAAGUCAGAUGUGAUAAACAAUAGAAACAACCUGGGAACUGCAUCUGAUACUGGCAAGCUUGAGUCUCGUAGAGGGGGGUAGAAUUCCAGGUGUAGCGGUGAAAUGCGUAGAGAUCUGGAGGAAUACCGGUGGCGAAGGCGGCCCCCUGGACGAAGACUGACGCUCAGGUGCGAAAGCGUGGGGAGCAAACAGGAUUAAAUACCCUGGUAGUCCACGCCGUAAACGAUGUCUACUUGGAGGUUGUGCCCUUGAGGCGUGGCUUCCGGAGCUAACGCGUUAAGUCGACCGCCUGGGGAGUACGGCCGCAAGGUUAAAACUCAAAUGAAUUGACGGGGGCCCGCACAAGCGGUGGAGCAUGUGGUUUAAUUCGAUGCAACGCGAAGAACCUUACCUGGUCUUGACAUCCACGGAAGUUUUCAGAGAUGAGAAUGUGCCUUCCGGAACCGUGAGACAGGUGCUGCAUG
rnacentral:rRNA from 1 species